rnacentral:rRNA from 1 species
CAAUAGCGUAUAUUAAAGUUGUUGCAGUUAAAAAGCUCGUAGUUGGAUUUCUGGUGGGAGCGAUCGGUCUGGCGCUUAGCGCGAGUACUUGCAUCGUCUCCGGCCAUCCUUGGGGAGAGUCUGUCUGGCAUUAAGUUGUCGGGCAGAGGAUCCUCAUCGUUUACUGUGAAAAAAUUAGAGUGUUCAAAGCAGGCUUAUGCCGUUGAAUAUAUUAGCAUGGAAUAAUAAGAUAGGACUUUGGUACUAUUUUGUUGGUUUGCGCACCAAAGUAAUGAUUAAUAGGGACAGUUGGGGGUAUUCGUAUUCCGUUGUCAGAGGUGAAAUUCUUGGAUUUACGGAAGACGAACUACUGCGAAAGCAUUUACCAAGGGUGUUUUCAUUAA